AUCGAUGUGAUAAAAUGACAGAUGUUUCUGUUGAGUGCCAGAAUAGUUUAAAUGUUUUUUUUAAAAAAAUAUGGACUGGAUAAACCUAAUCACAAAACAUGAAAGACUCAAACAACCACAGAGGCAAACAGGCAAUCUGCUUUCCAACCUUGUUUAAUUACUUGGAUGUGAAAUAUUCACCAUGGCCCCAAACCGUUUCCCUGAACACUGCAAUUAUGUAAUAAUAUCAUCACCAAUAUUUGGGUCUUUUCUGAGCUCUGCUAACAGUCAAGUUUUCUUUGUAAAACAUCAGUCUUCUGAGUGGUUUCUCUAAGACAAUUCCUCUCCUAGACUGGCUUUCUUUGUGGUGAUACCAGUGGAGAUUUAGUGAGUGCCCGUUUCAUUUGAUCUGUGUAGACAGCGAGCUGGACGACCCUGCUGAGCAGCCACGAUGCAUGUCUAAAUACAUCCAGGGCACUGCCACUGCAGUUAUCUACAAAACACGGCCCCUGCUUCCCUUGCAAGUGUUCUGGAGCCCAUGAGCUGCUAAGAGACUCGACUGUAAAAUGUGUAUCCUUUCAUCAAUCUAACAAGACACAAAUUCACUCCAGACAUCCACAGGCAAUGCACACAGGAGACAGCUGUCAGGGAUCAGAAGGACUGAAUUUUCCAUCUCAGAUCCUGCCAGCUGUAAUCAUGUGGGCCCAAGCCCAGGAUCCACUACAGGAGAAAAAGAAAAGCCAAGAUAAAUGUUUUAAUGCUUCCUCUUGACGAUGCCUUGUGUUGGUCUCUAGUGAGCUCCAUUUCUCAAGUAGAUAGAAACACAUAAUGUUUAAUUUUUUUCACAUUUUCUGAUAAAAGUAAUUAAAAUCAGAGCCUGAAAAAGAUUUAGAGUUUUAAAGCAGAAAAUUGCAAAUGAAGCACACUAAGGGAGAAUGAAGUAUUUGUACAUAAGUACUGGGGAGGAGGAUUCUUGCUUUGAACAUGCCAUGAUAAUAGAAUUUCUCUCAAGAGAUGGUUUCUGCGCAGAAGGCUGUUUCUCAGCCAUCCUCCUUCUGCCUGAUGAGCCUCUCUCAGUAUGAAUUGUCC
rnacentral:lncRNA from 1 species